CACGUAGGAGGCGAGCGUUGUCCGGAAUCAUUGGGCGUAAAGAGCGCGCAGGCGGCUUGGCAAGUCGGGUGUGAAAUCCCGGGGCUCAACCCCGGGACUGCAUUCGAUACUGUCAGGCUAGAGGUAGGUAGGGGAGAUCGGAAUUCCUGGUGUAGCGGUGAAAUGCGCAGAUAUCAGGAAGAACACCAAUGGCGAAGGCAGCUCUCUGGGACGGUACUGACGCUGAGACGCGAAAGCGUGGGGAGCGAACAGG
rnacentral:rRNA from 1 species